GGCAAGAAAGAAGAGAAAUCCCUCAAGCCCAACCGUGCGACCUACCUCCUAUUCUCUCCCAUUUCAAUCUCUCUUCCAAUCUCAAGCCAAGCACCCAUUAUUUCUUCUUGAAAAUAGCAAGGACCUAUAUUGAUGUUAGAAGUAUCGAGGAACAUAGAGAAAGUGACGAAGAGAAUGGGGAGCAAGGUAUUACUGCAGAGAGAGAGGCAAACGCUUAGUGUCUUCCAUGUUGGUUCGACUUUGCAUGGAUAAUGAGUUAUGUUUAUGGAUGUUGUAUGCAUGGUAGGGAUGGAGUCCCUUCUUAACUAGAAAAAUUAUGUUUUUAUGAACGUAUGAUGCACUCUGAG